GACAGAGGGUGCAAACGUUGUUCGGAAUUACUGGGCGUAAAGGGCUCGUAGGCGGCCAACUAAGUCAGACGUGAAAUCCCUCGGCUUAACCGGGGAACUGCGUCUGAUACUGGAUGGCUUGAGUUUGGGAGAGGGAUGCGGAAGUUCCAGGUGUAGCGGUGAAAUGCGUAGAUAUCUGGAGGAACACCGGUGGCGAAGGCGGCAUCCUGGACCAACACUGACGCUGAGGAGCGAAAGCCAGGGAG
rnacentral:rRNA from 1 species